rnacentral:lncRNA from 1 species
CAGGAAGUGAAACCCACAGGUUCUGUGGCUCUGCAGUGCCCUCUCUAGGAUGCUUUUGUGGAUGUGCAGUGGCUCAAGGUGCAGCAGGUGAUUCUGUAGAAAGGAGUUUCUCCAAUAAAGCAGAGCUUCUCUUUCAACUCCAUGGACAUCAGAGAGAGUCCCUUUCAAAAAAGGAGGCUCAGGUCUGGAGAGACAAAGGCCUCUACUUUCGAAAAGGCCUCUUGGAUCAAGCCCAGACCCUCAUCAGAGCUGACAACAUGUCCAGCCUGCACUACUGCAAGAACUUCUUUGUCUAUGGUAGUGUGGUCAACUGAAGAAGCCGGCUUAGUUGCUCCAGUCAGGUGCUCACACUAAGAAAGGAUGGGUGAAGGUUAUAAAGUGGCUGUGAAUGAGAACUCGGUCUGGGCUCUACCAAGCAGAGAAGCCAUGCAGAGAUGAGAAAGGUGAAAGCCAUGAAACCAUGUUAAGCAGAAAAAUAAAAAUUCAAAAC